rnacentral:lncRNA from 1 species
UUGCACCAACUUUGUGAUAACCUCGAGGUCCUUGUUUUCAGCAACAUCACUGAAAUCCCAUCGCCUAAGGUCCAGUGGGUGGGUUUAGGUUUCAUCCGAGCGAUGCCCAACUAUCCCGGAUGAACCUAUGGGUUUUUUUUUUCUUUAAGUUUUGAACGUUUUAAUUUUCUAACGUUUUGCAAGUCUUAAUGUAAGAAGAAGUUUAUAAUUGGAUCAGAUGUUUUGUGAAUGAAGAUUCCUACUGUUUUCUUCUGCAUUUGAGAGUUAUUUCAAGCUUCAUUUCGGCGGAGCUUGCCUUGGUUGUUUGCACGUCGAAGCUUUCCUUUGUGCGGCGCGCAUGUGGAUGUGCCGCGCCUCUCCUUUUGCCAACACUCCGGAUAAGGCUCGGUGAAGGACUGCGAGGUUGACCGGUGGACGUGCAGCCCGCCAGCUGCGGAACAGUAGGCCCGCUGCGCCGCCAUCGUCCAGCACGCCCUGGCCUGAGCCGGCCUCAACUCAUCACCUGUACGGUAUUCCAGAACGCCUCAGGUAGGCCUGAUAGUCGGAGGUCCUCGAGUAAGUGAGGUGCCUACAGGUGUACGGACAGUGUUUUUAAACAUAGUGAUAUCCCAUGGUUGUUACGGAGUGACAAUUAACCUGACGGACCAAAGCGCGACCUGUCUCCCUCCAUAGGGUUUUUACCUGCCCAUGGUUGUACUGUAAUAAUUAUAACUGUAAAAUAUACAUUGUACAAAUUCAAA